rnacentral:rRNA from 1 species
AGUGAACGCUGGCGGUAGGCCUAACACAUGCAAGUCGAACGGCAGCACAGUAAGAGCUUGCUCUUACGGGUGGCGAGUGGCGGACGGGUGAGGAAUACAUCGGAAUCUACUUUUUCGUGGGGGAUAACGUAGGGAAACUUACGCUAAUACCGCAUACGACCUACGGGUGAAAGCAGGGGAUCUUCGGACCUUGCGCGAUUGAAUGAGCCGAUGUCGGAUUAGCUAGUUGGCGGGGUAAAGGCCCACCAAGGCGACGAUCCGUAGCUGGUCUGAGAGGAUGAUCGGCCACACUGGAACUGAGACACGGUCCAGACUCCUACGGGAGGCAGCAGUAGGGAAUAUUGGACAAUGGGCGCAAGCCUGAUCCAGCCAUACCGCGAGGGUGAAGAAGGCCUUCGGGUUGUAAAGCCCUUUUGUUGGGAAAGAAAAGCAGCAGGUUAAUACCCCGCUGUUCUGACGGUACCCAAAGAAUAAGCACCGGCUAACUUCGUG